UACGUAGGUGGCAAGCGUUGUCCGGAAUUAUUGGGCGUAAAGCGCGCGCAGGCGGUUCUUUAAGUCUGAUGUGAAAGCCCACGGCUCAACCGUGGAGGGUCAUUGGAAACUGGAGAACUUGAGUACAGAAGAGGAAAGUGGAAUUCCACGUGUAGCGGUGAAAUGCGUAGAGAUGUGGAGGAACACCAGUGGCGAAGGCGACUUUCUGGUCUGUAACUGACACUGAGGCGCGAAAGCGUGGGGAGCGAACAGG
rnacentral:rRNA from 1 species